rnacentral:rRNA from 1 species
AUUGAACGCUGGCGGCAGGCCUAACACAUGCAAGUCGAGCGCGCGGCGGACGGGUGAGUAAUGUAUGGGGACUGCCCGAUAGAGGGGGCUAACUCCUGGAAACGGUAGCUCAUACCGCAUACUAUCGGAUAACCCAUAUGGGAUUUUCGAGUAGGUGGGGUAAUGGCUCACCUAGGCGACGCCCCCUAGCUGGUCUGAGAGGAUGAUCAGCCACACUGGGACUGAGACACGGCCCAGACUCCUACGGAGGCAGCAGUGGGGAAUAUUGCACAAUGGGCGCAAGCCUGAUGCAGCCAUGCCGCGUGUAUGAAGAAGGCCCUAGGGUUGUAAAGUACUUUCAGUCGGGAGGCGUUACCGACAGAAGAAGCACCGGCUAACUCCGUGCCAGCAGCCGCGGUAAUUC